rnacentral:misc_RNA from 1 species
AACAUAAAUAAAAAAACAAAUUAUAGAAGAUACGCGAGAAGAUAGAUUGCACAAUUAAAUAUAGAAGAUAACUUUUAUUUUGUUUAAAUUAUCCCAAAUAAUUAUAAUUAAGAUAAAUAAUGGGGAAAAAGGGAAGGGAGACUGAGAAACUUUACGGAUCAACACUCGACUUUCUUUAAUUCUUCCGGUAGGCUUCCGUGUAUGGACAAAUUCAAGGUUUGUCUCUUUAAGACUGAGUGGAUGUCAUCAUAUUCGUGGGGUACAACUACCCUUCCCCCACGACCGCAUGUAUUUCGUCUUACAAUGUGCCUAAUGUCCUCUCUUAAGGUCCAAGAGGCAUUGGACUACUGUUGGGGUGGUUUAGACUAAAAUAAAAUAUAAGACCCUCCUAAAUACCAAGAAAAACACAUAGGACAACAUUUAGCAUGUAAAGUUUCAAGUUGACCUCUAGAUUUUAUUAAACAUGCUGGCAAACACAAGUAAUUGUGCAAGGAUUUCAUGCUAAAGUGUGUGCAUACAAGUACUAUAACAAUUAUUUAUUAAUUUUAGAGGUGCAGGAGAAUUAUUGAGUGUAGAAAAUAGUUCAUUAAGAGAAAUAGCAUACCAUAUUGAUAAUGCA